GUGUGAAUUGCAGAAUUCCGUGAACCAUCGAAUCUUUGAACGCAAAUUGCGCUCGAGGCCUCGGCCAAGAGCAUGUCUGCCUCAGCGUCGGCU
rnacentral:rRNA from 1 species